CUAGUAAUCNCGGAUCAGCAUGCCGCGGUGAAUACGUUCCCGGGCCUUGUACACACCGCCCGUCACACCAUGAGAGCCGUCAAUGCCCGAAGUCCGUAGCCUAACCGCAAGGAGGGCGCGGCCGAAGGCAGGGGUGGUAAUUAGGGUGAAGUCGUAACAAGGUAGC
rnacentral:rRNA from 1 species